UACGUAGGGUGCAAGCGUUGUCCGGAAUUAUUGGGCGUAAAGAGCUUGUAGGCGGUUUGUCGCGUCUGCUGUGAAAUUUCGGGGCUCAACCCCGAACUUGCAGUGGGUACGGGCAGACUAGAGUGUGGUAGGGGAGACUGGAAUUCCUGGUGUAGCGGUGAAAUGCGCAGAUAUCAGGAGGAACACCAGUGGCGAAGGCGACUCGUGG
rnacentral:rRNA from 1 species